GAAUUCGCCCUUAGAGUUUGAUUCUGGCUCAGGAUGAACGCUGGCGGCGUGCCUAACACAUGCAAGUCGAGCGAAGCACUUUGCUUAGAUUCUUCGGAUGAAGAGGAUUGUGACUGAGCGGCGGACGGGUGAGUAACGCGUGGGUAACCUGCCUCAUACAGGGGGAUAACAGUUAGAAAUGACUGCUAAUACCGCAUAAGACCACAGCACCGCAUGGUGCAGGGGUAAAAACUCCGGUGGUAUGAGAUGGACCCGCGUCUGAUUAGCUAGUUGGCAAGGUAACGGCUUACCAAGGCGACGAUCAGUAGCCGACCUGAGAGGGUGACCGGCCACAUUGGGACUGAGACACGGCCCAAACUCCUACGGGAGGCAGCAGUGGGGAAUAUUGCACAAUGGGGGAAACCCUGAUGCAGCGACGCCGCGUGAGCGAAGAAGUAUUUCGGUAUGUAAAGCUCCAUCAGCAGGGAAGAAAAUGACGGUACCUGACUAAGAAGCACCGGCUAAAUACGUGCCAGCAGCCGCGGUAAUACGUAUGGUGCAAGCGUUAUCCGGAUUUACUGGGUGUAAAGGGAGCGUAGACGGAUGGGCAAGUCUGAUGUGAAAACCCGGGGCUCAACCCCGGGACUGCAUUGGAAACUGUUCAUCUAGAGUGCUGGAGAGGUAAGUGGAAUUUCUAGUGUAGCGGUGAAAUGCGUAGAUAUUAGGAGGAACACCAGUGGCGAAGGCGGCUUACUGGACAGUAACUGACGUUGAGGCUCGAAAGCGUGGGGAGCAAACAGGAUUAGAUACCCUGGUAGUCCACGCCGUAAACGAU
rnacentral:rRNA from 1 species